CGAAAGGCAUAAGUCCAAUCAACCACCACAUUAGACAUUCCAAGAAUCACAGCCUCUCUGAGGAAGAAAAAGUAAUUAUUACCCAGGUAUUAUCAUUUUCCAUCUGUGCUACCAUGUGAAAAAUGUUGGGAAACUCUACUGGAAACUGACCUUGCUCUUGGGACCCACCCUGCCAGGCAAAAGAGAGCUAGAAAUUCUUCUCAGAGUGAUUUCUAGCUUCCUGUGGCUCGAAGUGAAACUCCCCAGAGUUCAAAAUUUCAUUUCUGGUAUCUAAAGGAAGUUGUGUGGAAUCUUGCUUUCUUCAAAACCUGACAUCUAGCAGUUCUGCUGUAGCAAUUUGGCAAAGAUACAAUAUCCAAGUACAUGAUUAGCUGGUUCAUUUUAUUGAACAAGGUAUAGAUUUGUUUGGUUGCCUUCAAAUUCAUGUGUUAAAUCACCUGUAAGGCUGGGAGCAGGGGCUCAUACCUGUAAUCCCAGCAUUUUGGGAGGCCAAGGUGG
rnacentral:lncRNA from 1 species